rnacentral:rRNA from 1 species
AAAGGCUACAGCUCAACUGUAGUAGUGGUGGCGAUACUGCUUAGCUAAGAACAUGGGAGGGGUACUUGGAAUGUGUGGUGUAGCGGUGAAAUGCGUAGAUAUCACACAUAACA